GAGUUAUCAUUACCAUGUUGGUGACCUGUUCAGUUUGCUGCUAUCUCUUUUGGCUGAUUGCAAUUCUGGCCCAACUCAACCCUCUCUUUGGACCGCAAUUGAAAAAUGAAACCAUCUGGUAUCUGAAGUAUCAUUGGCCUUGAGGAAGAAGACAUGCUCUACAGUGCUCAGUCUUUGAGGUCACGAGAAGAGAAUGCCUUCUAGAUGCAAAAUCACCUCCAAACCAGACCACUUUUCUUGACUUGCCUGUUUUGGCCAUUAGCUGCCUUAAACGUUAACAGCACAUUUGAAUGCCUUAUUCUACAAUGCAGCGUGUUUUCCUUUGCCUUUUUUGCACUUUGGUGAAUUACGUGCCUCCAUAACCUGAACUGUGCCGACUCCACAAAACGAUUAUGUACUCUUCUGAGAUAGAAGAUGCUGUUCUUCUGAGAGAUACGUUACUCUCUCCUUGGAAUCUGUGGAUUUGAAGAUGGCUCCUGCCUUCUCACGUGGGAAUCAGUGAAGUGUUUAGAAACUGCUGCAAGACAAACAAGACUCCAGUGGGGUGGUCAGUAGGAGAGCACGUUCAGAGGGAAGAGCCAUCUCAACAGAAUCGCACCAAACUAUACUUUCAGGAUGAAUUUCUUCUUUCUGCCAUCUU
rnacentral:lncRNA from 1 species